rnacentral:rRNA from 1 species
UACGUAGGGUGCGAGCGUUAUCCGGAAUUAUUGGGCGUAAAGCGCAUGUAGGCGGUUUGUUAAGUCUGGUGUGAAAGCUCAAGGCCUAACCUUGAAAUUGCAUUGGAAACUGGCAAACUAGAAUACUGGAGGGGUAAGUGGAAUUCCAUGUGUAGCGGUGGAAUGCGUAGAUAUAUGGAGGAACACCAAUGGCGAAGGCAGCUUACUGGACAGUUAUUGACGCUGAGAUGCGAAAGCGUGGGGAGCAAACAGG